rnacentral:misc_RNA from 1 species
AUGAAGAACGUAGCGAAAUGCGAUAAGUAAUGUGAAUUGCAGAAUUCAGUGAAUCAUCGAAUCUUUGAACGCACCUUGCGCCCUUUGGCCAUUCCGAAGGGCAUGCCUGUUUGAGUAUCAUGAACACCUCAACUCUCAUGGCUCGCCAUGAUGAGCUUGGACUUUGGGGGUCUUGCUGGCCUGUGGUCGGCUCCUCUCAAAUGGAUCAGCUUGCCAGUGUUUGGUGGCAUCACAGGUGUGAUAACUAUCUGCGCUUGUGGUUUUCCAUCAGAUAACCUUCAGUGAUGGAGGUUCGCUGGAGCUCAUAAACGUCUCCCCUAAGCGGGGACAGCCCUUUGAAUGUUUGAUCUCAAAUCAGGUAGGACUACCCGCUGAACUUAAGCAUAUCAAUAAGCGGAGGA